AACGAACGCUGGCGGCAUGCCUAACACAUGCAAGUCGAACGAGAACUUCGGGUCUAGUGGCGUACGGGUGCGUAACGCGUGGGAACCUGCCCUUAGGUUCGGAAUAACUCUCCGAAAGGGGUGCUAAUACCGGAUAGUGUCUUCGGACCAAAGAUUUAUUGACUUUGGAUGGGCCAGCGUUGGAUUAGCUAGUUGGUAGGGUAAAAGACUACCAAGGCGACGAUCCAUAGCUGGUUUGAGAGGAUGAUCAGCCACACUGGGACUGAGACACGGCCCAGACUCCUACGGGAGGCAGCAGUGGGGAAUAUUGGACAAUGGGCGAAAGCCUGAUCCAGCAAUGCCGCGUGAGUGAUGAAGGCCUUAGGGUUGUAAAGCUCUUUUACCCGGGAUGAUAAUGACAGUACCGGGAGAAUAAGCUCCGGCUAACUCCGUG
rnacentral:rRNA from 1 species